rnacentral:rRNA from 1 species
GAUUUCUGACUUGAAACGAUUAGCCAGCCACGGUUUCGUGUGUUAGUGUUAGUCGUUCUGGUCAUCCUUCCAAUCGCUAUACAUCUUUCUUCAUUGAUGGGUGUGUGGUAUUGGAUCUUUUACUUUGAAAAAAUUAGAGUGUUUCAAGCAGGCUUAAUGCUAUGAAUACAUUAGCAUGGAAUAAUAAUUUAGGACUUCGGUUCUAUUUUGUUGGUUUCUAGGACUGAAGUAAUGAUUGAUAGGGAUAGUUGGGGGUGCUAGUAUUCAGCGGCCAGAGGUGAAAUUCUCGGAUUCGCUGAAGACUAACUUAUGCGAAAGCAUU